rnacentral:lncRNA from 1 species
UCAGUUUGUAGAAAACAUUAGUUGUAUUGUCAGAAAAGGCCCCUUUGCUUCAACCUGGAGGAAAAUGUGUAGAGCAACUUGCGCCGCGUGAUUCCUUGGUGGCAUAAGUGCUACCCCUGGACAGUCUGGAAGGGAGGCCGCCACUUGAUUCCUAAACAAAUUAUUCAUCCCUUUUGGUUGAAAGGACAGCAUUGUUGGAUAGAAAUUGGUACCAUUCCGGAUAUUCCGACGAAAGCAUAGCGAUCCCAAUACCUUAGGUCCUUAGUCAUGCCGCGCCUCAGCUCAGGGCGAUCGAUGCCACAACAUGGUCUGCCGGUGUAACUGCGGACGGAGACGGCGGUGGUAGACCGAUCGGGCCUGGAUUUCAAGUGAUGCGUCCGUAUGGGACACGGGGACGAGCACGUAGCCGUGCUGACUAGGCGCCGCGCGGGACGCGACGCGGACGGGGGCGACUUCUUCACGGCUGGCCGUGGCGGAAGCGAAGAUGGAUAUGGCCGCGACGGCGACCGGAUGGAGACUGGAUCGAGGGCUGGGAGGGAGAGGGAAACUGGAUAUGGGAUCCUCGCAAAAAGUUGAGACGGGUCACUCCGGCCGGCAUGGUAUGCUGCGCAUGCACUUGCGCCCCCGCAACGCCCGAGAUUUCUUCUGC